AAAUUGAAGAGUUUGAUCAUGGCUCAGAUUGAACGCUGGCGGCAGGCCUAACACAUGCAAGUCGAGCGGAAACGAGUUAUCUGAACCUUCGGGGAACGAUAACGGCGUCGAGCGGCGGACGGGUGAGUAAUGCCUAGGAAAUUGCCCUGAUGUGGGGGAUAACCAUUGGAAACGAUGGCUAAUACCGCAUAACACCUUCGGGUCAAAGAGGGGGACCUUCGGGCCUCUCGCGUCAGGAUAUGCCUA
rnacentral:rRNA from 1 species